ACCGAUAGAGAGGGUCAUAAAAAUGAACCAAAACACUCAGAAGUCCUUCAACCACAUCAGUAGAUAACACAGACAAGAGCUUCCCAUGAUGUUCCUUGAAGCCCAGGGGAUCUAAUACAAAGGAAGACAACUUCCCUAGCUCUUUCAAAUCAGGACAUCUGAAACUGUAUUUUUGAGUGUUCUUUCGUCCAUAAUCCAUGGUCUAAAUAUAUUGGCA
rnacentral:lncRNA from 1 species